rnacentral:lncRNA from 1 species
AAUGUAAAUGCUAUCAAUCCAACAGUUGUCAUGACAGACAUGGGAAAAAAAGUGUGGAAUGAGCCUUCUGUUGGAGAUCCAAUGAAAAAUCAAAUACCACUUGGGAAAUUUGCAGAGGUGGAAGAUGUCGUCAACACUGUUCUUUUUUUACUUAGUGACGAAAGUAACAUGAUAAGUGGUGUUGUCCUUCCUAUUGAUGGCGGGUUUCUUGCAUCAAGAAAGCUAAGUUAAAAUGCGUUUUUCUUGUAUCAAGAAAGCUAAAUUAAAUUGACAUAUAUAAAGAAUAUCUGAAGACAA